rnacentral:rRNA from 1 species
CGCGCAGGCGGGCUUGUAAGUCAGAGGUGAAAUCCUACAGCUUAACUGUAGAACUGCCUUUGAUACUGCAGGUCUUGAGUUCGAAAGAGAGAGACGGAAUUCCAGGUGUAGUGGUGAAAUACGUAGAUAUCUGGAAGAACACCAGUGGCGAAGGCGGUCUCUUGGUUCGUAACUGACGCUGAGGCGCGAAAGCGUGGGGAGCAAACAGGAUUAGAUACCCUGGUAGUCC